UCUACGGGUGGCUGCAGUCGGGAAUAUUGCGCAAUGGAGGAAACUCUGACGCAGUGACGCCGCGUGCAGGAAGAAGGUUUUCGGAUUGUAAACUGCUUUAGACAGGGAAGAAAAAAGACAGUACCUGUAGAAUAAGCUCCGGCUAACUACGUGCCAGCAGCCGCGGUAAUACGGAGGAUGCGAGCGUUAUCCGGAUUUAUUGGGUUUAAAGGGUGCGCAGGCGGGAGAUCAAGUCAGCGGUAAAAUGUCGGGGCUCAACCCCGGCCGGCCGUUGAAACUGGUUUUCUAGAGUUGGAGAGAAGUAUGCGGAAUUCGUGGUGUAGCGGUGAAAUGCAUAGAUAUCACGAAGAACUCCGAUUGCGAAGGCAGCAUACCGGCUCCAUACUGACGCUGAGGCACGAAAGCGUGGGGAUCGAACAGGAUUAGAUACCCGAGUAGUC
rnacentral:rRNA from 1 species